CAAAAUAAUAUCCAAUUUUUUUAUAUUUAAUAUAUUUUUAAAUUGUUCAAUCAUUGCGAAAUAGACACAUGCGUUAUAUACUUCAAUAAAUUAUAUGUUCAUUCGAACCUCGAGAAUCAUAGUCUUUUCUCUAAUUUUUAUGAAUAAAACAUUUUUUUGUUUUCGAAUUUUAAUUUACUAUUACUACCAAAUAUUUGUGCGGUUGCUUAUGUUAUAAAUCAUAGUAAUUUAAGUAAAAUUUUUUAAUAUUCAAAUGUGAUGAAACUAAUGUUUUAUCGGCACCUUCCCCGGAACUAAUUACAUUUUUCAAAGGAAGUAGAUAUCUAUCUGUAUAUUUUAAUUUAUUGUAUUAACUUUUAUUUAUUUCUGUUUUAGACCUGAAAAUGAGAAGGGUGAUGUUCUGAACUGACUAAUAAAAAUGAUUAUGCGAAAUCUACGAAUAUAUUAAGACCAUUUCAAUCAAUUAAAAAUAGAUUCUUAACUGAUGAAAGAUUAUAAUAUGUCAAUACCGUAAUUCAGAAAAUGCUACCUAGCUAGUGAUUUUUUAUGGACUGCAUGAUAUUAUUUUAAAAGCAACUGUAACUAUUAAAAUAUUACUUAUGAAAUGUA